AGGCUCAUCCUACUAUAUAAAAGGAGCUAAAUCCUAGCUUUUCUAGAGGUGCCACAUAGGCAAAAUAAUCUCCACCUAUCAAACUGCCAUGUCACUAGCUGACUGGGCUUCGAAUUAAAAUUGCAAUAAAAAAUUUGGGAUUCGUUAUCGCUUACAAAAAUCUCGGUUUGUCUACAAUUUGCCGGUGGGCCAGGUAAAGAAAAAUCUCGCAGCCCAGCUCAUUAACCCAAAUCGCCGUCUUCGUAAAACUAUUUCCUUCGGACAAUUACUUAUUUCAACAGUCAAACUAUUUUCUUUUAAAUUUUCUAUUUUUUCAAAUAAUUUAUUAUUUCUAUUGUUUUCUUUAACAAUGUGUGAACUGGCUAAGUUUCCUUUCAUCUUAAAAUUGUCCGCCCAAGAUAACACCCCCCUUAUUUCACACACGGUCACUAUAAAUUUCUAAAAAAACCUAAAUUCUACUAUCAAACCCACCCAACAAAUUUAUAACUACCAGUUCCAAUUACUCAUGCUUCGACCUCAUUCAAAUAAUUAUGGGCCGGCCUACUUUAAUUUUUAAAUAACCAUGUCAAUAAUUUAAAAAAAAACAAACAAACCAUAACUAUGUUCACUUCAAAAAAAUAUGAAAUUAAUAAAAGAUGGGCAAUACAAAUAAUUCUCAUUUUUAUAUGUGCAUAACAUGCAUCAAAAGAUCAAAACAAUUGGGGCGACACCCUCGGACCGCAUCCAAUAAUCGUUAGGAUCUUUAGGAUGUGGCCCAUCACAAAUCACAAAAAUAAAAAUGUUUUCCUAAGAACAACUUUCAUUUGUCUUGACAUCCAGGUUUGUCUUAAAAAUACUUACUUUUAAUUAUUCCAACUACAUUUCAAAUGAUGGCUUUUAACCACUAAACAUGAACAAAUAAUGGAAGGGAGGGUGUCUAUUUCUACGUCUGACAUAAUCUACCAAUGCUUCGAGGAAGGAAAAAUUUAUCACAUUAGAUAUUUUAAUCUUCUUCCCAAUAACCAACGUUACAUGCUUACCGUUCAACCAUACAUAAUUAAUAUCAAUGAGACAACAAUUAUUACACUGAUUCAAGAAAACAUUCCACCGAUCCCUUCAUACAUAUUUCGGCCCCAACGCUACCACCCGUUGAUCAGCUUAGCAAAUGCAACCAAUUUCCUCCCAGGUAAAAAAAAAACAAUAACUCUCUCACAUACAGAUAAAUACUAAAUUUUUGUCCCUAAAACCAAAUUAUUCCUACAGAUGUUGUUGGCCGCAUAUGCCUCAUCCAAGGAAGUGAUUUAUAUAACCACUAUACAGAUUCAAAAAUCAUCAUUGGAUUGUGUUUAGACAUGUACUAACUUUUUAUUAAAUAACAAUUGGUUUACAACUAAACAAAAUAUAAUACAAUAAUUAUUUGUAGAUCAAAAUUGGUACGUCUAACUUUAUGAGACAAGGAGGCGUCUAAUUUCAGGGAGUUAAAUCACAUAUAUACCAGGAAAAACCAAGUAUCAUUCCACGGUUACAUGAAGGAAAACUAUCACUCACAACCACACCUGGAUCGCGCUUCUACUUUGAUAACGAUAUUGGUAUCAUACAACGCUUUCAAAAGAGGAAUAAACUGUUAUCCUAAGCCUCAUAGCAAACGACACCAGCCAACUUUUAAAAAAUUUACGUUACCGCUUUCUACGUCAAUUAAAUAGGUACACUCAAAUACUAUUUUCUCUUACGAAUAUUGAAUUCCUCAAAACAAUUUAUUAUUCAAACUUACUGUUGUUUUUUUUAAAAAAAAAUGAUCACUGCUUCCAACGUC